CCUACGGGAGGCAGCAGUGAGGAAUAUUGGACAAUGGGCGCAAGCCUGAUCCAGCCAUGCCGCGUGCAGGAUGAAGCAUCUAUGGUGUGUAAACUGCUUUUAUACAGGAAGAAACCUCCCGACGUGUCGGGAAUUGACGGUACUGUAAGAAUAAGGAUCGGCUAACUCCGUGCCAGCAGCCGCGGUAAUACGGAGGAUCCAAGCGUUAUCCGGAAUCAUUGGGUUUAAAGGGUCCGUAGGCGGGCCAGUAAGUCAGUGGUGAAAUCUCUCCGCUCAACGGGGAAAUGGCCAUUGAUACUGCUGGUCUUGAAUUAUUAGGAAGUAACUAGAAUAUGUAGUGUAGCGGUGAAAUGCUUAGAGAUUACAUGGAAUACCAAUUGCGAAGGCAGGUUACUACUAAAUGGAUUGACGCUGAUGGACGAAAGCGUGGGUAGCGAAACAGGAUUAGAUACCCUGGUAGUCCACGCCGUAAAACGAUAGGAUACUAGCUGUUGGGGGCAACUUCAGUGGCUAAGCGAAAAGUGAUAAGUAUCCCACCUGGGGAGUACGUUCGCAAGAAUAGAAAACUUAAAAGGAAAGUUAGACGG
rnacentral:rRNA from 1 species